AUGACACAGAAAAAAAGUCUAUACAUGUCCAGUGCAGAUGGAUUUUUAAAAAAUAUUUUCAACUUUGAAUUCACAGAUGAAGAACUCAUGGAUACGGAAGCCCAGUUGUAUUCAUCCUCCAUCUGGGAUAAUCCCUUUUUCAGAGCACAUCUCAUUUCCAAGUGGCUGUUGGGCUGCUGUUUGCCCCCACUCCUUCAGUGCGACAGACAGCCUCAGAGCUGGUGGGGAGACAGCGUGCCGCUGGAAAAAUUCAUAGACAUGGAAUUCCUGGAUCAAAUGAUACUAAGGGAGACUUGCCUGGAAGCAGACUUGUAUCCGCAGUGUACAAACUCAUCCUUUAAUGCGCACACUGGCCGGAUAACACAAACACACAUUUACUCCCACAGCACACAGACUCUUUCCACAGUACACACACUUGCCUUCCAGUACACAGACAUAUCCAAAGGCACACCGACAAGCACCACAGCAGAAAGAUUUUCCCCAGAACACACGGACACCCCACUCCCCGUAUCAUUAGACUCUCCCAGAGGCACAUAUGUACUCCUUCAUGCAGAGACUCACCUAAGGCACACUGACGCACCCCGCGUGACACAGACUUGCCCCCCCCCCCCACAUAAGGACUCUACUAUGACACAGGGACAAUCCCAGCAUCAUGCACUGUUCCCACAUCACACGAACCCUUUCUAGGAAACACACAGCAUGCAGACUUACCCCAUAGAACAUGGCUUCCCCGACAAGCACACAUACUCUCAAGGCCAGUAGCCUCACCCCAGAGCACAUAGACUUUCUCCAGAGUAUACAGCUUCUUCCCACAGGAAACAGACUCUCCCCGGGGCACACAGACACCCCUGAGAUCACACACUCUCACCGCAGAUCCUAGACUCAUCUUAGAGCACAGGGACUCUUGCCAAGAAACAGACUUUCCCGAGAACAGACUCAUGAGACAGCUUGAAGACCCGCAUCGCAACGUAGACUCUCCCACAACAGACAGACUCACCCCAUUGUGUACAGACAAGCACCACAG
rnacentral:lncRNA from 1 species